rnacentral:rRNA from 1 species
UACAGAGGUCUCAAGCGUUGUUCGGAUUCAUUGGGCGUAAAGGGUGCGUAGGCGGCGCGGUAAGUCGGGUGUGAAAUCUCGGAGCUUAACUCCGAAACUGCAUUCGAUACUGCCGUGCCUUGAGGACUGGAGAGGAGACUGGAAUUUACGGUGUAGCGGUGAAAUGCGUAGAUAUCGUAAGGAAGACCAGGUGGCGAAGGCGGGUCUCUGGACAGUUCCUGACGCUGAGGCACGAAGGUCAGGGGAGCAAACGGG